rnacentral:snoRNA from 1 species
CUGGAGGCUGUGAUGACAAAAAAAUACCUACCUGUUUUCUGACUCCUGAUGAUAGAAACCAAUGGAUGCUUCUAAGCCUUCCU